GGUAAAUAGCAUAAACUAUAUAUUUUGAAAUUUAUUUUUUAUUUGAUGGGAUUUGAACUUUUUGUAAAACCUUUUAAAAAAGAAAAUGGAGUUGAAGAUAGUUUUAACUAAAAUUAAAUAAAUUAAUAUAUAUUAAUAAAUAAUAUAUAUAACAUUUAAUUAUAAUAUAUAAAUAUAAUUUUAAUAAUUUAAAUUGAAAUAUUUAUACCAACGUUACUAUAUAUCACUUAGUAAUUUAUUUUCCUUCACUCAAUUUUCAUGGACGGGAUGCGAAUGCCAAUACCUCAUACCUCCCAUUUGCAAUUACCACUGCUAGGGUCAAUUUCAGCUGGUUGAAUUCGAUUUUAUUUAAAAAAUUGAAUAAAUUAAAAUUCUAGUUAAUUAAAGCCAAGCAAACUGAAUUAAAAAAAAAAACUUGAAUUAAAUAAAUUGAAUUUUUUAGCAAAUAAA
rnacentral:misc_RNA from 1 species